ACUGGGUUGGCCGAGUGGUUAAGGCGUUGGACUUAAGUUCCAAUGGACAAGUGUCCGCCGGUGGGUUCGAACCCCACACUCCAGUA
rnacentral:tRNA from 1 species